rnacentral:rRNA from 1 species
ACGCUCGACACCUACGGGAGCAGCAGUAGGGAAUCUUCCACAAUGGACGCAAGUCUGAUGGAGCAACGCCGCGUGAGUGAAGAAGGUCUUCGGAUCGUAAAACUCUGUUGUUAGAGAAGAACACGAGUGAGAGUAACUGUUCAUUCGAUGACGGUAUCUAACCAGCAAGUCACGGCUAACUACGUGCCAGCAGCUGCGGUAAUCUGAGCGGGCUGGCAAGGC